CAACGUUUCAAUAGCACUAUUGAAUUUUUUUUUAGGGAAGAAGGGAACAGAAGAGAAGAACAGAAGCAUCACCCUUGGGUCCCCCUCUCUCUAAUCACCGUCUCUAUUUUCUCUUCGCUCGUGCAUCUCAAUCAGUUGGUGUACUUGGUUCCGUGUAGAAAAGUGUUUGUGAUAUAUAACAUCUAAGAAAAAAAGGUUUUCGGAGUUCAAGCGUAAGAUUUGAUUGAAUGGCUAUGGUCACUGAAAUCGCCACCCUUGAGGAGAAGUAUGUUUUGAUUUUUUUUUUUUUUGUUUCUCACCUUUUUUUGCUUGUGUCUAAUCUUUUGAAUUAAGACAGAAAAAAGUUGAGAUGUGAUAUUGUCUGAAACCUGACAUGGAAGUCGAUGAGCUCUUCUUUUUUCUCUGAUUUUGAUUUGGAUGAACGAAAUUAUAUACUCUUUUUGCAAUGAAUUUAGACUGCGCUUUGAUUCAGUGUUUUAAUUUGGUGUUCUUUGUCUGAAUAUCUGCCUUGUUCGCUGAUUAAGGAUCUGUUUUGAUUCUGUUAUAUAUUUUUUUGCUUUAAGGAACUAAAAAAAGAACGUUUUUUUUAAGUCUUCUUCUUUUACUUGGGGGUGAACAUAUCUGUUUCAGGGUGCUUUCUGGAUCAGAUUAAUUUUUUGAAUUCUGGUAAUUUGGUUUAGUCUUGGAUCAUAGAUCUCUUGAUUGAAGUUAAGUAGGAUUCUUAAUAAGCUACAAUGUGUUUAUCUUUGGUUUUAGGUAUAUCGAAUUGUGUAAGAAGCAUGAAACCAUACCCAACACUUCCAUUUUAUCUGCCUUCUCUGAGGUUUGCUUACCUUAUCCUUUUACAUAUGAUAUAUGUAUUGCUUCUGUUUCACUGUUACUCUGUGUUAACCUUACAAUUGAAUCCAAUCAAAUGAACUUUUCAGGCGGAGGAUAAAAAGUCAAGGAAUCAAAGAUGCACCAUGAACCUUUUAGUUGACAGAGUGAUGUACGAUGACUUUCACCCGCUGCUUGAGUUAUGCAAUGAGAUCAACGCAUCUGAGGUAGAAGGAUCUCUCUCUGUGAGAUCCUCUUGUUCUCUGGAAGAUCAGUACGUAUUGUCCUUGAUACGUUCUGUCAUUCAAAAACUUCAUCUUAUUGAUGUACACGAUUGUUUUGGGAAAACCUUAUGGCGGUAAGCAAUAGACUUUUGUCUUCUCCUUUUAUUUUUGCAUUAUUUCUUAAGUUUUGAUUGUUUUUUUUUCAGGGAUGUCUUCUCUCAAGGCUUGAGCUGCGAAGUUUUGAAUGUGAGGUCUUUGCAUUUCCGUAAGCUUAACAUCGUUGGAGAGUUCGCACAGCUGCACACCCUUAUACUCGAUUCCAACCGUGUGACUGGUUUUGGUGAAAGUUGUUUUUCUUGCAUGCCGAACUUGACUUGUCUUUCGAUGUGCGACACUGUUGUCUCUGAUCUUUGGACAGCAAGCGCUGCUCUCUUGAAACUCCCUUCUCUUGAGGUGCUCUGGUUUCAGAUUUGGAUUUGUUGCAGUGAAUCUUCUACCGGUGGUGGUGGUGGCUCUUCCGCCGCCCCACCACAGAGGAAUACUACCAACAUCAAGGCGGCCGCCGCGAUUGGAAUGCAGCUUGUAACGGUUCCGAUUUCCUUUCGCCGGCGAGAAGAAAGCCAGAUGAAUCGAGGCGAACGACAGCUCGCACCAGAGAUUGGAUGUGAAUAUUCAUCUCCCAUAACUCUCUCCGAACUUCAUGGCCGGUGUAAGAAAUCAGAAGUUGAAGAACUCAUGUACCCUAGAUAUCGAUUCUAGAAGACGAAGACGAAAUCUAUUAAGAAAAUUAGCCCACUUAAAACGACCCGUUGACUUACUCUUUCUCAUGAUGAGCUUAACACAGAAACCGUGUUGAAUUAAAAGCCCAAACAAAUUUAAACCGUAAAUAAAUGAAACACAGAGUUUUGGUGAAGGAGACACGUGUUGCGCUGUCAGGAGCCGACUUAAUGACGUGGCGUUCUACGUGGAUACCCCAGGAGUGAAGCAAACAUAUAUAUAUAUAUAUAUAUAUAUAUAUAUAUAUAUAUAUAUAUAUAUAGAUAUAAUGCUUUAAAUAAGAAUAUAAAAUCAUUAUAUUGAUUUAUAUAAACUGUUUGCUGUUUAUUAUUUUAUGUAUUUUAUAAAUAUAAAAAAUUGAUCACCAUUAUUACUCUUUCUAUAAUUUUAACAAUUAGUUACCAUAAAUAAUAUUAUGUAGAUUAUUUGGCAAGUAGUAUUAAUUGGUUACAAACUUACUUUUUCUUUUUACAUCUAAUUAAAAUAAGUAAAAAUUAAAAAUCAUCGACCAAUCAAAUUAUAACAAUUUUGUAAGAGUUCACCUAUGAUCGACACGUAAGCAAAAAUCAAUAAAUUAACUUCUCAAUUAAUAUAUAGUAGGAUAAAUUUUGGCUCGGAAAUAGCAACAAAAUUGCAUAUUAUGUCAUGUAAAACUUCAGAGCAAUAAAUUUAUAGUUUAUAAACUUCUAUAAUCAGAACUGGAAAAUUGUCGACAAAAAAAUUCAAAACAUAUUCUUACAUUAUUAGAAAUGGAAAAUUGUUUACAAAAAAAAUUCAAAACAGUAAAUUUUUAUACUUUUAUUAUUAGAAAUGGAAAACUGAAGAAACAUGUUACCUUAUUAAUAUUAUCGUAUAAAAACUUUGAAACGAAACUGUAAGACGAAAAUUAUCAGAAAAGAAAAUUAGAAGUACAUAAAUGUGAAAGCGAAAAGGUAGGAGAAGAGUUAAAUGGAGAGAAUCUCUAAAUGUGUAGAAACUUCCAGCUUCAUGGCUGUAAGUAAUUUUAGGACCAUUUUCAGCUUUCUCUUUUACCCACUAUACCCAGUUUCCAUUUUCUGUCACCGUUUGUAACCAGUACAUCACUCUCCUCCAUUAUAAAUCUGAGUCACAUACACAUCCUCACUGCUUACUUAGACCGCACGUCACACUUCUUCUUCUUCGUCUAGGAGAAGAAGAUGAGAAAAUGUUGACAGAAGAAAGAGAGCACAAGCCGGGAUUAGCAAAAAGAGAGUUUUGCCCUUGUCGGGAGUGUGCUCUCUUUACUUCUGCCACCAUCAUCGCGUGUGAGCGUAAGUUAGUGUUAUAUACACACUUUAGAAACUACGGAUGUUUCAGCAAGGUUGCUUCAGUGUCAAAGAAGGCUCAACCUCCUCGUUGUUUAGUAUCUAAAGAACGCCGUCUCAUAGAUGAUCUCACAUUAUUAUCUAGAAGAGCACACAUUAGCCCAACGAGCAACAGCUUCUUCAGAAUUCCUCAUCAAACUGGCCUUUCAAUCUCUCAUCAACAGCUUUGACGACAACUCUUACUUCACUGUGUAAUCUCCAAACCCAGUCCACUAGAUUCACAGUCUUCUGGCCCUCCGAUUCUUUGUCUAUUGCCCUCUUUCCACAAGUGACCUCUGGAAUCAGCAGUCCGUAGCUAAACGCAUCUGUUUUCUCAGUCGUCGCAGAGCCGUAUUGGAGAUACCCCAUCGUGACAGCAGUCAAGGUCGAGAUGGGGCUUUUAUCGUGCUCAGUGAGCCUAGCAAGACCAAAAUCGCAGAGCCUAGCGUUGAGGUUUACGUCAAGCAUUAUGUUGCUUGUCUUUAUGUCCCUGUGAACCACUUGCUGCCAGUGCCGUGUAAAGGUUCAUAAAGACAUAAAGCAGUUUAAAAAUUGGAGGCCUCUAUAUGUAAGUUAGAAUAUAUAAUCAAUAUAGCCUAGUAUAUAUAAACUUGUAAGCUUUUAUUUGAGGAAAAGAAGUAAUAAAGAAAGCACAUCAAAACUGAGAAGUGAGAAGCUAACUCAUGUUAACAUAUAGAAAACACAUGGAAGCCAAUAUGACAUAGUUCAUUUUACUAGUUAUGGGGCUCUUAAAUUGUACAAAAAAUCUAGAGGCCUGAGGCAAAUGCAUUUUAAAAUA